GACGAACGCUGGCGGCGUGCCUAAUACAUGCAAGUCGAACGAACCGCGACUAGGUGCUUGCACUUGGUCAAGGUGAGUGGCGAACGGGUGAGUAACACGUGGGUAACCUACCUCAUAGUGGGGGAUAACAGUCGGAAACGACUGCUAAUACCGCAUAGGACAUAGGAUCACAUGAUUCUGUGAGGAAAGGUGGCGCAAGCUAUCGCUAAGAGAUGGACCCGCGGUGCAUUAGCUAGUUGGUAGGGUAAAGGCCUACCAAGGCGAUGAUGCAUAGCCGACGUGGGAGGGUGAUCGGCCACAUUGGGACUGAGACACGGCCCAAACUCCUACGGGAGGCAGCAGUAGGGAAUCUUCCGCAAUGGACGCAAGUCUGACGGAGCAACGCCGCGUGAGUGAAGAAGGUCUUCGGAUCGUAAAGCUCUGUUGUUAGAGAAGAACAGCGCAUAGAGUAACUGUUAUGCGUGUGACGGUAUCUAACCAGAAAGCCACGGCUAACUACGUG
rnacentral:rRNA from 1 species